GUGAAAAUACAAACCAGGAUUACUCAUCGGCUACACUAAAAAAGGAAAAAAAAAAAAAAGUACACACACAAGCUACCACCGGCCACUAAGCUCGACAAGAGCACGCUUGUGCAGCUCUGAUGCUCUGGAGAAGAACAGGCAGUCAAAUACCACCGCCUGUGGCAGAAAU